ACUUCCCUGCAGCACCUUCCGUGGCUGCCGUCUCGAUUCAGGUUUCUGGCGCCAAAUUGGAGAGGAAUGAGUUGAAGCCUGAGCUGGAGGAUGGAUUUUUGGAUGAAUGGAAUUCAGAGAAUAUUGACAAGCUGAAGAAAUACGAGGCUGCCUAUGCCCGAAGAUUAAGGGCUAAAUACUUCUCCAAGAAAACUUUAAAUGGAGUGGACAUAUUUGAUCAUGAAACUAGAGUAGACAAUGUCAUCAUAAAGUCAAGCAGAUGGCCAUGCACAAGAUCAUUUGCUGAUCCAAUUCAGAACUCAGCGGAUCAAAAUGGAUUUCCAUCUUCCACAGAGGCUGAGACCACAUUGCUCACAACAGUACAGGAAGCAUCAAUUUAGCAGCAGUUGCUGAAGCAAAAUUUGGGAGUUCUGCCAAUGUAGAAAUAUGCUCCACAGAAUCAUUUUGUAAUUUGCAAAUGUCAUUAUGACUGCCUUAGAGUUAUGCCAAUGUAGAAAUAUGCUCCACAGAAUCAUUUUGUAAUUUGCAAAUGUCAUUAUGACUGCCUUAGAGUUAUGCCAAUGUAGAAAUAUGCUCCACAGAAUCAUUUUGUAAUUUGCAAAUGUCAUUAUGACUGCCUUAGAGUUAUGCCAAUGUAGAAAUAUGCUCCACAGAAUCAUUUUGUAAUUUGCAAAUGUCAUUAUGACUGCCUUGCAAAUUUAUGUAUUAACAUAAAUUUUAAAUC